rnacentral:rRNA from 1 species
CUAGGGGGUCAUCGCGACUUACCAAACCAUUGCAAACUCCGAAUACCGAGACGGACUGUAUGGGAGACACACGGCGGGUGCUAACGUCCGUCGUGAAAAGGGAAACAACCCAGACCCACAGCUAAGGUCCCAAAUUUUGUGCUAAGUGGAAAACCAUGUGGAAAGGCACAGACAGCCAGGAGGUUGGCUUAGAAGCAGCCACCCUUUAAAGAAAGCGUAAUAGCUCACUGGUCGAGUCGGUCUGCGGG